GGACUACAGGGGUAUCUAAUCCUGUUUGCUCCCCACGCUUUCGUGCCUGAACGUCGGUGCUGGACCAGGAAGCCGCUUUCGCCACUGGUGUUCCUUCAGAUAUCUACGCAUUUCACCGCUACACCUGAAAUUCCGCUUCCCUCUUCCGCACCCUAGCUAUGCUGUCUCGAGUGCAGUUCCCGGGUUGAGCCCGGGGCUUCCACACCCGACUUACGUAACCGUCUACGCACGCUUUACGCCCAGUAAUUCCGAUUAACGCUUGCACCCUCUGUAUUACCGCGGCGGCUGGCAC
rnacentral:rRNA from 1 species